rnacentral:tRNA from 1 species
UGCGCCCAUAGCUCAACUGGAUAGAGCACCAGCCUACGGAGCUGGUUGUUGCAGGUUCGACCCCUGCUGGGCGCAU